AUGAAUUAUUGUAGAUGAAGGGAGAGAAUAACCAGAAGCAGAGUCAUCUGGGAGUCCAGAGUGAACAGGACCCUCACCAUGUGAGAAGAUGAUGGAGAGUAGCAGUUGACCUAGAGGAGCAGCCUGGGCCAAGAAGGCUGAGUUAUGCAGGGGCCAGAGGAGCUGGGAGGUUCUUGGGAAGCCCAGCCCAAUAGUCGGGCUGGAAAGUUCAGGGUAGGGGGCUGGGCGAGCCAUCCAGGAGGACCCUAUAAGAGGCAGAGACUGAGGGGUGCUGGGAGAAGCUGGGGGGGCCGGUGUCCACUUGAUAUGCUAAUGGAUACUUGAGUUAGCCAUCAUCCGGGAUUUGAGACCCCCCCCCCGACAGAUUUUUAAGCCUUUGCCUCUGUAUGAGUGGUACUUGCCGGAUCCUUUUGUAAUUAAAAGGAAGGAGGGAUCAUGGAGGAACAAGAAAGGACAUAUUUGGACUAUUGUCACCACCAGUCUCUAGAAUUCAGACUCUUCUUCUAGAAUUCAGACGCCACCUCUGAUAAGACGUCGUCAAGAGUAACAUUUCUAUUGUGCAUCCCCCCUCGCCAAGGGGAAUUCGGGGAUGCGUAACCGGCUUCGGUGCAGGAAACGACUUUAAUGUGGCACUGGGGGUUCACUUCAGAAGCAGCUUGGGAAAUGGGAACACAGGCGCAUGUGUAACCACCACCGUGUCUUCGAGGACAUUAGCUCCUUACCACUCUUUCUCCGCCUUCUGUAACUAUCCGGGUCUCGGUGGUGCAGCUGUCUGAACUACAUAACCCGUGCAGAAAGGCCGGAAGAUUGGCCGGAGGUGGCUUGAUUGAAAUGACAGGAGAGUGGGACUUCUCCUCUGUGAAGGGGACAGACAAAAGCACCUUGGCCUGAGUACUGCCAUUUUGACUUCAGACUCCAUUUUACCUGUAGAGUGAAACAAAGUUCAGCUUCCCAAGCCCUAGGGCAGCUGAGAAUGUUCCAGUGGCUGACCAGUCUCCCCCCCUAAGCCAUAGAAAUAGUCCUUAUGCAUCUUUAGUUCUUUACAAACGUCGUGGUUGUUCCUAACCAUGGAGGAACAAAUGGGUCUGGUUGGCCGGACGGAAAGGCUUGCAGUAUAUAUUAACUGACAAUGAUGGAACACUCAAGGAGACCCCUAAUCUCUAAAUCCUGGUUGGUGAAAACUGGAACUGGAACUCGGCAACAAAUGUUUGUGAUUUGUGUGCUUCUAAACUCCCUCUUCUGCCCCUGCUUGGGGCUGUCAGGAGAAGCAAAGCUCCUGAGUCCUUGUCCUGAAGUCCUGAUGGAUUAGUGACUUGCUAAUGUGGUGAACUAUUGAAAUACUUGGAACCGUAAGUGUUGUCUCUCUCCUUCCUCGUGGUGCAUAACGGGCUAGGUGUAACAACUAAGGGGGCACCUUCCGACUGGACAUUCCUAGAGCAUCUGGUGUCUGCAGGACUGGAGUGUGAGGAUUCUGGAUUGUGACUGAGACCUGGCUAUUGGUGGCAUAGACUCAGCUCAGCGGGCCUUCGUGGUCCACUCCCUGUGGAGAAAAGGAAGGUCAGUCACACAGUUGGCACGAGUAGCCUGUCUGUGCCUCACCUGCUCAGCCUUAUGCAGAGGGAUGAUUCCCCUGUCCCCAUGGAAGGACCCUCAGCGGGAUUCCCUCCUUCGCGUGCGCACCAGGCAUUGAGCUGAAGCCUAGAGUCUGAUUUCUCAGUGUGUGUAUUUCUCUGUGUGUAUGCACUCGGAGCUAUCUGAUGAGUACUUGUUGAAACAGUAUUUGGUCAAGAUUCACACAUAAAUGGGAGAUUAAACAGCCUGGAAAUAACAUUAUUAUGAGCACUUAACGAUCAGCACUUGAAUAAAGAUUCUUAUUUUAUUUA